rnacentral:rRNA from 1 species
AUGACGAUUCUUCUCCUUCCGUCCGCUCCUUCCCCACACGCAAAUCUCCUCAUUCCAACAGUAGUAGUAGUUCUGAUGGUCGUUCAUCUCCUCGUGGCAACAACAGUCGCCGGUGUCCCAGUAGCCUUGCCUGGGUGCCCGGAGGCCUGCGGCAACGUCACCGUUCCAUACCCUUUUGGCUUCCAGCAAGGCUGCUUCCACGCGGGCUUCAAGCUGACCUGCGACCCCACGCGCCAUCCGCCCAAGCUGCUGCUAGGCGACGGCGUGGAGGUGGACUCCAUCUCCCUGGCGGACGGCACGGCACGGUACGUGACUAGCGUGCCCACCGUGCUGGAAUGGUGGCUUAAUGUAGAAAGUGACCGUGACUUGGCCUGGUUGGAUCUCCAUUCUGCAUCUGGUUUGAGAUGCAAAAGCUUGAAUAGCUUCGCUUCCAGCGUUGGCGCAAAGAACAAAGUAAGGUGCAACUGCUCCGAUGGAUACGAAGGCAAUCCUUACAUCGUCCAGGGAUGCCAAGAUAUCGACGAGUGCCAACGGCCAGUUUAUCCAUGUCUGCACGGGACCUGCAUCAAUAUGCGUGGGACAUACCGAUGCUCAGCAAAGAAAAAUAUCAUCGGCCUCCCAGGUUUAAUUACCAUAAUUGCAGUUAGUGCUGGUUUUGGGUUGCUCUUUUCACUUCUAGGUGUUACCAAAAUUACCAAUAAAAUUAAGCAACAAAGAGCCAAGAAGUUGAGAACAAAAUUCUUCAAGAAAAACCAUGGGUUGCUUCUACAACAGUUAAUCUCUUCAAACAAAGAUAUAGCUGAACGAACAAGAAUUUUCAGCUUGGAAGAGUUGGACCAAGCAACCAACAAAUUUGAUCAUAAUCGCAUUCUUGGCGGCGGUGGCCAUGGCACGGUGUAUAAAGGCAUCUUAUCUGAUCAACACGUCGUGGCCAUCAAGAAGGCUAAAAUUUUGGUCGAAAGGGAAACCAACCAGUUCAUCAACGAGGUUGUUAUACUUUCACAAAUAAUCAUAGAAAUGUGGUGAAGCUCUUUGGUUGCUGCCUCGAGACAGAAGUUCCUCUACUUGUUUACGAGUUCAUAUCAAAUGGAACUCUGUUUUUUCAUCUCCAUGCCCAAAGUGAGAACUCUUUGUCAUGGAACAAUAGAUUGAGGAUUGCACUGGAAAUAGCAAGGGCCAUUGCAUAUCUACACUCUGCUGCUUCAAUAUCAGUAUACCAUAGAGAUAUCAAAUGUGCAAAUAUACUACUUACUGAUACCUUAACAUCAAAAGUAUCAGAUUUUGGAGCUUCAAGGUCUAUUGCAAUAGAUGAGACAGGAAUACUUACAGCUGUCCAAGGAACCCAUGGUUACCUUGAUCCUGAAUACUACUACACUAGUCGACUCACGGAGAAAAGCGAUGUUUACAGCUUUGGUGUCAUCCUAGCAGAGCUACUGACAAGGGUGACACCAGUUUUUUCUUCUCAUUCAUCAGAAGGGACAAGCCUAGCAUCACAUUUUGUAUCACAUAUAAGAGACAAUCGAUUCUCAGAUAUUCUAGAUGCACAAAUUGUUGAGGAGGGAGGGGCUGAAGAUGCUGAGGUGGUUGCAAGACUCGCAGAAGCAUGCUUAAGUUUAAAAGGUGAAGAAAGGCCUACAAUGAGACAAGUGGAGACAGUACUUGAAGAUGUUCAGAACUCAAGAGUCAAUCUUAGUUCUCAGAUCACAAGAGUGAACCGAAAUGCUAUAAAUGAUCAACCAUACAAGGGAAGUAAAGGCGGAGAAGAAACUAGACUGUACAACUUGGAAAAGGAUUUUAUAGAGUCGUCUGAAAUUCCAAGAUGA